AUUCUCUCAGGAUGCAGAAUCAGAUGUUAUAAUCGAUCUUACUAAAAAUCAGAAGACACACCAGUCCCAAACAGAACCAGAGUUCUUCCACGAUAACCAGGAAAACUACAGGAGGAAUCGUUUAUCGCUGACUAAAAAAAGAAGACCUGUCUCUAAAGCUAUAUGUUCUUCACAACUGAUGAAUGCAAAUGGUUUCAGAACAGUUCCUGAUCAAAAAUCAACCAACAUACAUACGAGAGAUCAGACUUUAACUUCUAAUGAAGAUUCAGUAAUUUACAUCUCAUCUGGCUCGGAAGACAGCUUUGUGCCGCAAGAAGUAUCCGACUUACCUCCUAGGCAGAGAGUUGACGCUGUUGGCAUCACGGCUCCUCCCUCGCCACGUAGAGAAACUACAGCGGACCCGGAACCAGAACAAGAACCAGGACCAGAAGCAGAGUCAGAACCAGAACCAAAGAGGCCUUCUGAUUCUCCUC